rnacentral:lncRNA from 1 species
CGCUGUUGCAGCUCCAGCCACAAGUGGUUUCGCUUGAGCUCGACGCAACAGGGCAACAUCUGCCGAGUGAAGAGGGAAACUUGCGCUACGGCGGGUUUUACACGGGUUGCUUUAACGGCUGCUGUGCUGUACAUGCGUCCGCGCGCGCCGCCCGGCUAAUGAGAUGACAGAUUUUACCAUAACGUUUAGAGUGAGGCUGUUAUUGCGUCUCGCAAAUAUGUCUUGUUAUAACGGGCCCUUCUGGGGAAUGCUGCAAUUUUGCUGCUUUAUGGGCAUAUUAGAUUUUUAUAUCGGCUCCGGAUCAAUGUGAUAUUUUUCAGGAAUUUAAUUUGCUGGAUUAACACAAACCAGAUAUUCGUCUCAGGGUCGCAAUUGAUUUUCCUGAAAGUGCACUAUAUCAUGACACACAGUGGUACUGCAGUACAAAAUUACAUCAACCUUGAUCGAGCAUUUCAUCCGUAUGACCAGCUUAUACUUCCAUGAAGCCCCUUUCUGAUUUAUUGUUUAAAAAUCCAAACGAAACACCUUAAAGGACUGUGGCGGCUUCGUCGUUUGACCAUAAACAUAAUCAGCUGGAUCGAGACUCACUCAAGCAGCAUCUGCGUAUUCCAGCUGCAUGGAAAUCCUGCGUAACAGUCAAGACCUCAGCUUAUCUCAGACGCACAACUGUGUAAACCACCUGGGACUCUUUACUGUCUGUAAUGUGACUGCUGCUGCUCUCUCUCUCUCUCUCUCCCUCUCUCUCCACAACACAGGGGCGAGUGACGCCGUCUCCGCCUCGUCUUUGACUGGCAGAAUAAACACAGUCGCCGCAAAACAGCGGCGCUGGGAGGGAGCAGCUACAAGCAGCCGCGGAGACCGCAGCCAAAGGAGCCCUGACCAGGAAAUGCAGCUGGAGAGGAAGACGGAAACAAAGCGGAGAAGGAAGGAACGACUAGAGAAGAAGAUGCAGAGGCCUGUGUGUGUGUGUGUGUGUGUGUGUGUGUGUGUGUGUGUGUGUGUGUGUGUGUGUGUGUGUGUGUGUGUGUGUGCACCAGUAGCGCGUGCGGUCAUCCAGAACUCCUGUCUGUCACAAUCACAUGCUCCCCAUUAUAUGACAAACCAGUUGACAUCCCAUUUCCUCACGCACACACACACACACACACAUGCACAGAGGCAUGAUGGGAGAUGGAUAACACACAGUGCCAUUGAAACGUGGCCCUGUCUCCAUCCCCAUAGGAGAGACUGUUUGUUUGCUGUAAUGGCUCACACGGCUGACUGA